GGUUUCCGUAGGUGAACCUGCGGAAGGAUCAUUGUCGAAACCUGCCUAGCAGAACGACCCGUGAACACGUUAUCAUCGGCAAAGAAACGAACACCGGCGCGCAAGCGCCAAGGAAAAUAACCUCAUAUGUGCCUGCCCCUUGCCCGGGCAACCGGUGCGCGGUCGCGGUGCCAUGUCUUAACAAUAAACGACUCUCGGCAACGGAUAUCUCGGCUCUCGCAUCGAUGAAGAACGUAGCGAAAUGCGAUACUUGGUGUGAAUUGCAGAAUCCCGUGAACCAUCGAGUCUUUGAACGCAAGUUGCGCCCGAAGCCUCUGGCUGAGGGCACGUCUGCCUGGGCGUCACGCAUCGCGUCUCCCCCACACCCACCUCGCGUGGAGGGGAAGGAAGAUGGCCUCCCGAGCCUCACCGGGCGCGGUUGGCCUAAAUACGGAGCCCCCGGCGUUGAUCUGCCGCGGCGAUAGGUGGUCGUCGCGCAGCGCCUCGCCAACGGAGCUCGCAGGACCCUCAACGUUGCCUAGCCGCAACCUUAACCGUUGCGACCCCAGGUCAGGCGGGGCUACCCGCU
rnacentral:rRNA from 1 species